AUGGAGGCUGGCGGCGCUAGCACGACUACUACGAGGAAGAGGAAAGCCGCCGCGCUCGAGGGCCAUCCGGCGACGGCGCCGGCAGGGGCGGCGGCCAAUCCCGGAAUGGGCGAAGACGACGGAGGCGGAUCGGGCGAAGAUGGGCAAGAUCUCGACCGCCUCAGCAGCCUCCCCGAUGCGAUCCUCGGUGAGAUAAUUUCCCUCCUCCCCACCAAGCAAGGGGCUCGCACCCGGAUCCUUGCGUCCCGGUGGGGCCACCUCUGGUGCUCUGCACCCCUGAACCUCGACUGCCGUCACCUCGCAUGGCACGAACUCCCUGCUCUCAUGCAUCGCAUCAUUAACGCCCACCAAGGCCACGGCCGCCGCUUCUGCACUCCGGAGCUGUUGUACACCAUAAGCGACAUAGAUGCCGUGGAGGCCUGCCUCCUGUCCCCCGCUCUGGCUAGGCUCGAGGAGCUUAAGCUCAACAGCUGGAGAGGGCUGCCGCUGCCGGAAUUAGUCUUCCGCUUCUCGGACACCCUCCGUGUUUUCCGCAUUGAAAAGUGCAGCCUCCCGGACGCCACCAUCCAAAGAUUUCAUUUUCCCCGGCGUCGUGGACCUCGUUGCCUCCGGAUCAAUUCACUUGUCCUCAGAAGCGUUACAGUCAGAAAUUAUUCACUGGGUGGAGCACCCAUGUUAGAGGAAAUCGUCAUCGAGAGUGCCCCUUGCCUCGAAAGACUAUUCGAUCUUAAUCAGAUGCAGGAUUUGCGUGUGUCAGUGCUCUUCGCGCCUAAGUUGGAGACUUUAGGUUGUACCAACUCCACCAGGCUCGUCUUUGGUUCUACAGAUAUUCAGGGAUCGCGCACAAUCAAGUGUUUGGCUCUCAGUAUGCCCACUCUUAGUUUGGCCAUGGUUAUUGGAUUGAUAAGAAGGAUUCCGUGCUUGGAGAAGUUGUACAUUCAGCGCAACACGUCAAGGAAGAACAAUAAUGCGUGGCGUCAUAAAUACCGCGAUCUUCUCAAUAGUCUUGACAUCCGUCUGAAAAUUAUGGUGUUGAAUUGCUAUUCCGGCAGAAGACCUGACGUCGAUUUUGUCACAUUCUUUGCCCUCAAUGCUAAACAGCUAGAGUCGAUGACACUUGUGGUCCACACCGACGAUGAGGACUUCUUGGCAAAACAGCAUCACAAGCUUCAGCUGGAGAAGAGGGCUUCAAGUGGUGCUCGGUUUCAUUUCACCACGGAGCGACGCUACGAAUUUGGAUACGAAUUAUCCUUUUGA
rnacentral:rRNA from 1 species